rnacentral:rRNA from 1 species
AUUGAACGCUGGCGGCAGGCCUAACACAUGCACGUCGAACGAGUGGCGGACGGGUGAGUAAUGUCUGGGAAACUGACUGAUGGCGGGGGAUAACUACUGGAAACGGUAGCUAAUACCGCAUACCAUCGGAUGUGCCCAGAUGGGAUUAGCUAGUAGGUGGGGUAACGGCUCACCUAGGCGCCGCUCCCUAGCGGGUCUGAGAGGAUGACAGGCCACAAUGGAACUGAGAAACGGUCCAGACGCCUACGGGAGGCAGCAGUGGGGAAUAUUGCACAAUGGGCGCAGGCCUGAUGCAGCCAGGCCGCGUGUAUGAAGAAGGCCUUCGGGUUGUAAAGUACUUUAAGCGGGGAGGCGUUACCCGCAGAGGAAGCACCGGCUAACUCCGUGCCAGCCGCCGCGGUAAUUC